CCUACGGGAGGCAGCAGUAGGGAAUAUUGCUCAAUGGGGGAAACCCUGAAGCAGCAACGCCGCGUGGAGGAUGAAGGUUUUCGGAUUGUAAACUCCUUUUGGUAGAGAAGAUAAUGACGGUAUCUAACGAAUAAGCACCGGCUAACUCCGUGACAGCAGCCGCGGUAAUACGGAGGGUGCAAGCGUUACUCGGAAUCACUGGGCGUAAAGAGCGCGUAGGCGGGAUAGCAAGUCAGAUGUGAAAUCCUAUGGCUUAACCAUAGAACUGCAUUUGAAACUGUUAUACUAGAGUAUGGGAGAGGUAGGUGGAAUGCUUGGUGUAGCGGUGAAAUGCGUAGAGAUCAAGAGGAAUACUCAUUGCGAAGGCGACCUGCUAGAACAUAACUGACGCUGAUGCGCGAAAGCGUGGGGAGCAAACAGGAUUAGAUACCCGGGUAGUC
rnacentral:rRNA from 1 species